GCCCUCCUAGCUCAAUCGGAAGAGCGUGGGACUUUUAAUCAUAGUUCUUCCUCCCUGAGGUUUGAAUUAGCGGAUUAGACAUCCCAAGGUCGUGAGUUCGAGCCUCACGGAGGGCG